GGAAGUAAAAGUCGCAACAAGGUUUCCGUAGGUGAACCUGCGGAAGGAUCAUUAUUGGAUUUUGAAACUUCAGGCUGCUGCUGGCUCUCCUCGGAGGGCAUGUGCACGCUUGUUGUCCAUUAUUUCUCCCACUGUGCACAAAUUGUAGACCUUUCAGUAGGCCUAUGUUGUUUUUCACAAUCUCUGAAUGUAAUAGAAUGGUUUUGAAUCUUGGGAAAUACAAUACAACUUUCAGCAACGGAUCUCUUGGCUCUC
rnacentral:misc_RNA from 1 species